UGAGGAAUAUUGCGCAAUGGGCGAAAGCCUGACGCAGCGACGCCGCGUGGAGGAUGAAGGUCUUUGGAUUGUAAACUUCUGUUAAGUGGGAAGAAAAAUGGAGUUCUAAUACAGCUCCGUAAUGACGGUACCAUUAGAGAAAGCACCGGCUAAACUCGUGCCAGCAGCCGCGGUAAUACGAGUGGUGCAAGCGUUAUUCGGAAUAAUUGGGCGUACAGGGUGCGCAGGCGGUAUGUUAAGUCAGUUGUUAAAGACCUCAGCCUAACUGGGGAGCAGCAGCAGAUACUGGCGUACUAGAGGGUGGAAGAGAGAAGUGGAAUUCUUGGAGUAGCGGUAAAAUGCGUAGAUCUCAAGAGGAACACCGAUGGCGAAGGCAGCUUCUUGGUCCACAUCUGACGCUCAUGCACGAAAGCGUGGGGAGCAAACAGG
rnacentral:rRNA from 1 species